rnacentral:rRNA from 1 species
GCAGUGAUGUGGAGCUAAACUGAAAAAAGUAAGUCUCAGUUCGGAUUGAAGGCUGAAAUUCGCCUUCAUGAAGCCGGAAUUGCUAGUAAUGGCAGGUCAGCAUACUGCCGUGAAUACGUUCCCGGGCCUUGUACACACCGCCCGUCACACCAUGAGAGUUGGGAAUACCCGAAGCCUGUGAGCUAACUAUACGAGGCAGCAGUCGAAGGUAGAAUCAAUGAUUGGGGUGAAGUCGUAACAAGGUAAC